UACGAAGGGGGCUAGCGUUGCUCGGAAUCACUGGGCGUAAAGCGCACGUAGGCGGCUCUUUAAGUCAGGGGUGAAAUCCUGGAGCUCAACUCCAGAACUGCCUUUGAUACUGAGGAGCUCGAGUCCGGGAGAGGUGAGUGGAACUGCGAGUGUAGAGGUGAAAUUCGUAGAUAUUCGCAAGAACACCAGUGGCGAAGGCGGCUCACUGGCCCGGUACUGACGCUGAGGCACGAAAGCGUGGGGAGCAAACAGG
rnacentral:rRNA from 1 species